AGCAGCCGCGGUAAUUCCAGCUCCAAUAGCGUAUAUUAAAGUUGUUGCAGUUAAAAAGCUCGUAGUUGAAUUUCGGGGUUAGUAGGUUGGUCAUGCCUCUGGUAUGUACUGGUCUCACUGAUUCCUCCUUCCUGAUGAGCCGUAAUGCCAUUAAUUUGGUGUUGCGGGGAAUUUGGACUGUUACUUUGAAAAAAUUAGAGUGUUUAAAGCAAGCUAACGCUUGAAUACAUUAGCAUGGAAUAAUGAAAUAGGACGUUCGAUCCUAUUUUGUUGGUUUCUAGGGUUGACGUAAUGAUUAAUAGGGAUAGUUGGGGGCAUUAGUAUUCAAUUGUCAGAGGUGAAAUUCUUGGAUUUAUUGAAGACUAACUACUGCGAAAGCAUUUGCCAAGGAUGUUUUCAUUAAUCAAGAACGAAAGUUAGGGGAUCGAAGACGAUCAGAUACCGUCGUAGUCUUAACCAUAAACUAUGCCGACUAGGGAUCGGAUGAUGUUAAUUUUUUAAUGACUCAUUCGGCGCCUUACG
rnacentral:rRNA from 1 species